GAUGAACGCUAGCUACAGGCUUAACACAUGCAAGUCGAGGGGCAGCAUGGUCUUAGCUUGCUAAGGCCGAUGGCGACCGGCGCACGGGUGAGUAACACGUAUCCAACCUGCCGUCUACUCUUGGACAGCCUUCUGAAAGGAAGAUUAAUACAAGAUGGCAUCAUGAGUCCACAUGUUCACAUGAUUAAAGGUAUUCCGGUAGACGAUGGGGAUGCGUUCCAUUAGAUAGUAGGCGGGGUAACGGCCCACCUAGUCUUCGAUGGAUAGGGGUUCUGAGAGGAAGGUCCCCCACAUUGGAACUGAGACACGGUCCAAACUCCUACGGGAGGCAGCAGUGAGGAAUAUUGGUCAAUGGGCGAGAGCCUGAACCAGCCAAGUAGCGUGAAGGAUGACUGCCCUAUGGGUUGUAAACUUCUUUUAUAAAGGAAUAAAGUCGGGUAUGCAUACCCGUUUGCAUGUACUUUAUGAAUAAGGAUCGGCUAACUCCGUGCCAGCAGCCGCGGUAAUACGGAGGAUCCGAGCGUUAUCCGGAUUUAUUGGGUUUAAAGGGAGCGUAGAUGGAUGUUUAAGUCAGUUGUGAAAGUUUGCGGCUCAACCGUAAAAUUGCAGUUGAUACUGGAUAUCUUGAGUGCAGUUGAGGCAGGCGGAAUUCGUGGUGUAGCGGUGAAAUGCUUAGAUAUCACGAAGAACUCCGAUUGCGAAGGCAGCCUGCUAAGCUGCAACUGACAUUGAGGCUCGAAAGUGUGGGUAUCANACAGG
rnacentral:rRNA from 1 species